rnacentral:rRNA from 1 species
GUCCACGCCGUAAACGAUGUCUACUAGCCGUUGGGAGCCUUGAGCUCUUAGUGGCGCAGCUAACGCACUAAGUAGACCGCCUGGGAGUACGGUCGCAAGAUUAAACUCAAAUGAAUUGACGGGGCCCGCACAAGCGGUGGAGCAUGUGGUUUAAUUCGACGCAACGCGAAGAACCUUACCAGGUCUUGACAUCUAGAGAACUUUCCAGAGAUGGAUUGGUGCCUUCGGGAACUCUAAGACAGGUGCUGCAUGGCUGUCGU